UUUUUUUUUAAACUAAGAUAGAUAUGUGUAGGUCACUUUAAAAAUUUUGGGCCCUGGGCUUGUGCCCCGCUCGCCCUGGGCCAGGGCCGGCACACCGCCGCCUCGCCUCCCCUCUCUCAGCCUCGAUUACCCUCUCGCCGUCGACCCUCUGAGACUCAACCCUACUCUCUGGUCUCAGUCUCUCUCUCUCUCUCUCUCUCUCUCUCUCUCUCUCUCUCUCUCUCUCAUCUCAUCAUCUCAGCCUCACAUCUCUCAUCGAUUUGAAGCUUAUCAGUGGCCUCUGAAUCGCCAUCUCCUCCUCCUCAUCAGGGAUUGUUUGCUGAGCUUGGAUUGGAGGCUUGGAGCUGUUGUUGCUGGCUGGCUUUAUAGAGCUGAGGUUGAUCUCUAUUCCAAUGACUCCGAGUUUCGUAUUUGAACCCCCAAGCGAUGAAGAAUAUUCGGAUGGAGAACAAGGUCUCGGUGAUGGAAAUUUUCAAUCCUCAUGGGACUUUGCAUCUUACUUUGAAAUUGUCUCCCAAGAACACGUCCGUGGAAGCACCACCUCCGUUGAUUUCAAGAUCACCAAAGCCCUGCAGCAACAACUAAUCUUACACCAUAGUGCUGCUGAAGAAGAUGAUGAGGGUAUUAGCUCGGAAUGCGAAUUCGACAAACAAGAAGAUUAUAAACAGCCAGAAUCCGACAAGGAAGAAUACCAGGAGGAAGGUGAUAAUGAUUAUAAUUCUCCUUCUAAUGUGGAUUUGACCAGCUGGGUUCGACGUCCAUGGGACCAUACUAAGCCCGCUCCAAUUCAGCCUGAAGAUGAAGAGGAAGUCGAUGAUGAUUCUCCUCCUAAUAUUGCUGAUGACAAUAAUCAGCCAUUUUUUGCUCCGUCAGAGGGAAUGUCGUUUCAUGCAAAUUCAUUCAUAGAGUUGAAUUUGUCACGCCCUUUGCUUCGCGCUUGUGAGAAAUUGGGCCAUACCAAGCCCACUCCAAUUCAGGCAGCGUGCAUACCAUUAGCCCUGGCCGGGCGUGACAUAUGUGGGAGUGCCAUUACUGGUUCCGGGAAGACGGCUGCCUUUGCAUUACCAACUUUGGAGAGACUAUUGUUCCGCCCCAAGCGGGUGCCAGCUAUAAGGGUCCUUGUUUUGACCCCAACCAGGGAACUCGGGCUUCAGGUUCUAAGUAUGAUUGAGAAACUUGCCCAGUUUACGGAUAUAAGAUGUUGCCAAGCUGUUGGAGGGCUUCCAUUAAAGGCGCAAGAGGCAGCCUUGAGGUCAAAGCCAGAUAUUGUUGUGGCUACUCCAGGACGCAUUAUAGAUCAUUUACAUAAUUCUAUGUCUGUGGAUUUGGAAGAUCUCGCUGUUCUAAUUCUUGACGAGGCAGAUCGACUUUUGGAGAUUGGAUUUAGUGCUGAAAUUCGCGAGCUGAUUCGUUUAUGCCCCAAAAGGAGACAGACCAUGCUAUUUUCAGCUACUAUGACUACUGAAGUUGAUGAACUUGUUAAGCUUUCUCUUACCAAACCACUACGUCUCUCAGCCGACCCAUCUGCUAAACGGCCAGUGGCACUAACUGAGGAGGUGGUUAGGAUACGACGAAUGCGUGAAGUAAAUAAGGAAGCAGUUCUACUUGCAUUGUGUUCAAAGACAUUCACUUCUAGAGUGAUAAUAUUCAGUGGCACAAAACUGGCUGCACAUAGGUUGAAGAUUUUAUUUGGGUUAGCUGGCUUUAAAGCAGCUGAGCUUCAUGGAAAUCUUUCUCAAGACCAGCGCCUACAUGCGUUGGAACUUUUCAGGAAGCAGAAAGUUGAUUUUUUGAUUGCAACUGAAUUGGUUUCCCGGGGCAUUGACAUUGCUGGUGUUCAGACAGUUAUCAACUAUGAAUGUCCUACUCAUCUUACAAGCUAUGUUCAUCGAGUGGGUCGUACAGCAAGGGCUGGUAGAGAAGGUUAUGCUGUUACUUUUGUGACAGAUAAUGACCGGUCUCUUUUAAAAACCAUCACAAAAAGAGCUGGUUCAAAACUGAAGAGUCGAAUUGUUGCCGAAGAAUCAAUUAUUAAGUGGUCCCGGAUAAUUGAGCAAAUGGAAGAUCAAGUGGCUGCAAUUCUGCUAGAAGAAAGGGAAGAACAAGCAUUGAGAAAAGCUGAAAUGGAAGCAACAAAGGCAGAGAAUAUGAUUGCACACAAAGAUGAAAUUUAUUCACGCCGCAAGAAGACCUGGUUUCAGACAGAAAAGCAAAAGAAGAUGGUAGUGAAUGCAGCUAAGGCAUCCCUUGGAAGAGAAAAGCAUUCUGGAAAUGAGGUAAUCAGUGCCCAACAAGCCGAAGACUUAAAAAUGAAAGUAAAGAGGAAGCAGGAGCUUGAGAAAAAUUUGCCUCGCAAGAUGCGCCGGAAAUUGGAAGCAGCUAGAGAAAUGUUAAGAGGAUGAAAAUCAAAUGGAAAGUUAAACUUACCCAUGCCACAUCACCCAACUUAAUGAUUCUUUCCAAAAAAUAGACAGCUCAGGAGGUAUACGGGGUCAUCUUAAAGUUCAGGGGGCAAACUGAGACAAAAUAGAAAGCACAUGGGGCAUCCAAAAAAAAAAAGCAUUUUUAUUAUUCUCAAAUAGUUCUAUCAGACAUAUUUUUAUUGUUUUUGUUUUUGUUUUAAAAACUAUUUUGCAAUUAAGCUUCUAGAUGCAUUUUCGAAUCUUGCAAUUAAGUUUUGGAAAUUCUACUA